rnacentral:rRNA from 1 species
UUUAUGGAGAGUUUGAUCCUGGCUCAGGAUGAACGCUGGCGGCGUGCCUAAUACAUGCAAGUCGAGCGAACGGACGAGAAGCUUGCUUCUCUGAUGUUAGCGGCGGACGGGUGAGUAACACGUGGAUAACCUACCUAUAAGACUGGGAUAACUUCGGGAAACCGGAGCUAAUACCGGAUAAUAUUUUGAAUCGCAUGGUUCAAAAGUGAAAGACGGUCUUGCUGUCACUUAUAGAUGGAUCCGCGCUGCAUUAGCUAGUUGGUAAGGUAACGGCUUACCAA